rnacentral:rRNA from 1 species
CGAGUGGCGGACGGGUGAGUAAUGUCUGGGAAACUGCCUGAUGGAGGGGGAUAACUACUGGAAACGGUAGCUAAUACCGCAUAACGUCGCAAGACCAAANAGGGGGACCCUCGGGCCUCUUGCCAUCGGAUGUGCCCAGAUGGGAUUAGCUUGUUGGUGGGGUAACGGCUCACCAAGGCGACGAUCCCUAGCUGGUCUGAGAGGAUGACCAGCCACACUGGAACUGAAACACGGUCCAGACUCCUACGGGAGGCAGCAUG